GAUGAACGCUGGCGGCGUGCCUAACACAUGCAAGUCGAACGUGAAGUCUAUUUCGAUAGACUGAAAGUGGCGAACGGGUGAGUAACACGUUGGUGACCUACCUCGAGGAGGGGGAUAACCGUGGGAAACCAUGGCUAAUACCCCAGAUGUCUAGAUUGUUAGAGGGUCUAGACUAAAGUUCCGACGCCUUGAGAGGGGCCUGCGGGCUAUCAGCUUGUUGGUGGGGUAAUGGCCUACCAAGGCUAAGACGGUUAGGGGGCGUGAGAGCGCGACCCCCCACAAUGGAACUGAGACACGGUCCAUACUCCUACGGGAGGCAG
rnacentral:rRNA from 1 species